GACGAACGCUGGCGGCGUGCCUAACACAUGCAAGUCGAACGGGGUAGUUCCUUCGGGGACUACUUAGUGGCGAACGGGUGAGUAACGCGUGAGAAACCUGCCUUUCAGUGGGGGACAACAGUUGGAAACGACUGCUAAUACCGCAUAAUGUUAUUUGAGGGCAUCCUCGAAUAACCAAAGCUUUAUGUGCUGAAAGAUGGUCUCGCGUCUGAUUAGCCCGAUGGCGGGGUAACGGCCCACCAUGGCGACGAUCAGUAGCCGGUCUUAGAGGAUGAACGGCCACAUUGGGACUGAGAUACGGCCCAGACUCCUACGGGAGGCAGCAGUGGGGAAUACUGGGCAAUGGGGGAAACCCUGACCCAGCAACGCCGCGUGAAGGAAGAAGGCCUUCGGGUUGUAAACUUCUUUUACCAGGGACGAAGAACGUGAAGGUACCUGGAGAAAAAGCAACGGCUAACUACGUGCCAGCAGCCGCAGUAACAC
rnacentral:rRNA from 1 species